UUAUCGGAGAGUUUGAUCCUGGCUCAGGACGAACGCUGGCGGCGUGCCUAAUACAUGCAAGUCGAGCGGACAGAUGGGAGCUUGCUCCCUGAUGUUAGCGGCGGACGGGUGA
rnacentral:rRNA from 1 species